rnacentral:RNase_P_RNA from 1 species
CCGCCGCGGGCAACCGCAGGGACAGUGCCACAGAGAGUAUACCGCCGAUGGCGCCUAAAGCGCACAGGCAUGGGUGAAAGGGUGCGGUAAGAGCGCACCGGGGGGCCGGUAACGGUCUCCGCAUGGCAAACCCCACCCGGAGCAAGGCCGAAUAGGGGCACCGCGCCAGUUCGCUGGCAGGGGCGUUUCGACCCGAGGUGCCCGGGUUGGCUGCUCGAGCGGCGGAGCGAUCCGUCGCC